rnacentral:rRNA from 1 species
UACGGGGGGAGCAAGCGUUAAUCGGAAUUACUGGGCGUAAAGCGUGCGCAGGCGGCUUUGCAAGACAGAUGUGAAAUCCCCGGGCUUAACCUGGGAACUGCAUUUGUGACUGCAUAGCUAGAGUACGGUAGAGGGGGAUGGAAUUCCGCGUGUAGCAGUGAAAUGCGUAGAUAUGCGGAGGAACACCGAUGGCGAAGGCAAUCCCCUGGACCUGUACUGACGCUCAUGCACGAAAGCGUGGGGAGCAAACAGG